GGCCGGAUAGCUCAGUUGGUAGAGCAGUAGACUGAAAAUCUGCGUGUCCCGUGUUCGAUUCACGGUCCGGCCA
rnacentral:tRNA from 1 species